GGCGUAGGGGGAGUAGUAGGGUCCAGCUGCAGGCAAGGAAGCCACCGGCAAGGAGCCCGGCGUCGGCAAGUGGCUUUUGCCGUAGGGAUGAUAGCGGUUUAGUCCCAAAGUCUGCGGGCUUCUCAACGACAGAGAUCCGGUGAUGCUGUCGGAUUUGCCAGUGGAAUGUCGCUUGGCCAUUGCUGGGCUGAGAGGGAAAGAAACAGGCUUCUGGAUGAAUUUUCCCAACGCUCUGGGUUUCAGUACCAUUAGACGCACAGAAGAUAAGCAUGAGUGACAGAGCCUCAUUCUGUGAGGUAUUAAAGAAUGCUUUCUGGAGUGAAAAAGAUCUGGCUUCAUUUCUGCUCCCUUCCCUUCAGGCCAUAACAACAUAUCUUUCUACAUACCUUCAUGGACGUCCUGUUUUAACAGCAAUGAACUGAGGCUGCGAUGUGGUUUACAUUUCUAUUUGAAGGAAGCAAAACAUCCAUGCUCAACUGACCUCAUGCCACUAUCACAGCAUCCAAUCUGAGGACAUCGUUGUCACUGUCACUACAUGAGCUCUGAUUACGUUUGGGUAGUGGUCAUGAUUGUUUAAAGGGCAAAAUGCUUAAAGCCAAUUUGUCUCUUACCCUUCCAUCUGUUCCACACUUUCAGAAAUGGGUAUCAAAAUAUUACCCCACUAUCUGCUUUACUGUAUGUCCUCAGUGAACCGGAAACAUCACAUUCUCGUUUGCAAAAUGCUGUUCAUCCAGUUCUAUAGUUUAGCAAAAUGCAUGUCUCAGCAGAUUGUGGAUGGCAAGGAUGGGCAAAGAUGAAGAGUCUGAAAGUGGAUACAGGUUUGAAAAGGAUGUGAUAUUCUUUUGUCUCCUUUCUUUUUGGAUUCGCAGCCCUUGGCUGACACAAGACCCUCUACAUUCCAUUUGUGUAUGCUAACUAAAUUCCAAUGAGAUAAUUUUGGUCUGUUUGGGCAUUUAAAAGCAGUUUGCUUAAACUUUAGAGAGUUCCAUUUGACCUCCAUGCCAUGUUCUCCUUGGUAGGUUAACAGCAACUGAUGAGUGCUAAGUUAAUGAAGUUCUCAGAUUCUAGUCUGAGGUGAGUAGCAAACGGUUAAAAAAAUGGAAUUUAAUCAGUCAAAAAUGCAAAUCAAGCCAAGGUUUGUUUUGUUUUGUAGAAAUAUACUUGCUAGGUCUAGAAUAAAAACUUCAGCCAGGUAAAAAACCUCAGCCAGGUGCAUCUUUUCUGGAAACAGAACCAAGAAUCAAGACUGGGUCACCCUUACACUGGAGCCUUCUCCAAAUUGACACCUUUGGGCAUAUAGAAGUCAACCUUCAAAUUCUCAACAAUGUAUUGAACAUUCUGGGAGUUGAGGUUCACAUAUCUGGAAGGUGAAGAAGAUGGGAAUGUCUACUCUUUAUUCUCAUAGUUCGGAUGGUUCAAAAUAUAGCUAGAAACAGAUGUAGGUGGUGGCUGUGGUCUCAAAAUGUAGAAGCUUCUGUUACCAUCCAAUCCUCUAGGGUUGUCCCUGCUUAUGUCAUUGGGUUCUGUCUCCCAUCAUUCUCAGGAAACAUUGGUUAGGGUUGAUGGUAAUUGGAGUCUAAUAAUAACAUCCAUGCAUUUCCAAUUGCCAUAAUUCACUCUGUUUAAUAUAAUAGUGUUAGUAGAGGAUACUUCCCUUGGAAAAUAUGAAGAGGACAAACGUAGGUGCUAGAAUCUAUUCCAGAAAGAUUGACAAAUGAAGUCUGAAAGAAAACCUCAAUGCAUUCUUUUCCCCAAGUGUGGUCUUGGCAGGCACAAGCUGCCAUAGGCUUGACUUCAUUCCUUGCCAAAUAAUGCCACUAUGCAUUGCCAGAAUUAAUCAUGAUUCUAGGUAAGCAUUGUGGCACUUUUAUGGCAGCUGUGAAGCUAAUCUGUCACUAAUGCCUUCUGGAUUAUCAUAAUUUCUUACAGUUGUGAUUCAUUAACUCAGAUGCUUAUGGAAUUAGUAUUAAACAUCUCCUGCAGAUUUUUGCCUCAACAUGUCUGAGUUCCAAAAUCCUUUGAUUGCAUUGCAUUGAAUGGCAUGUCAAGCACACUGUGUGGUCCAGAAGAGGUCACAACACUGCUGUCUGAAUCAAAAUGUUAGGAUGCUGAUAACUUUUUUUUUUUUUUGGUAUGGGAUGGAGUCUGGUCUUGACCUCAAGGGGCCUAAAACUUUACUGGAUUUUAGAAGCCAAGUUCAGAUCAGUUUAAUCUAUAUCAGUGAAACAGUUCAGUUCCAGGAGAAAUUCUAUGAUUUUUGGGAAACAGUUGGGACCUAGAAGUAUAAAAGAAACUUGACAUAGAUUUCUUGGGGAAUAAUUUACAAGGCAUACCAGAGCCAACUCUUCAGUGAUAUGAGCUCUACCUUUGUAACUUUGUACACUGGGAUUCAUCUUUGGCUGGAGCCCCAAAUCCAUGGAAAAGUAUUAUGAAUGCACAAAAUCUUUAAAGAAGCAUGCAUGUUUUUUUUCCAAAGGCUGCAUACCAAAAGGAGUUGUAUAAAAAUAUUUUUAUUGUAUCAAAAUUAUUAAAUAUAAAUUGCUUAUGCUGCUUA